rnacentral:rRNA from 1 species
AUUGAACGCUGGCGGCAGGCUUAACACAUGCAAGUCGAGCGGGGUGAUGGUGCUUGCACUAUCACUUAGCGGCGGACGGGUGAGUAAUGCUUAGGAAUCUGCCUAUUAGUGGGGGACAACAUCUUGAAAGGGAUGCUAAUACCGCAUACGUCCUACGGGAGAAGGCAGGGGAUCACUUGUGACCUUGCGCUAAUAGAUGAGCCUAAGUCGGAUUAGCUAGUUGGUGGGGUAAAGGCCUACCAAGGCGACGAUCUGUAGCGGGUCUGAGAGGAUGAUCCGCCACACUGGGACUGAGACACGGCCCAGACUCCUACGGGAGGCAGCAGUGGGGAAUAUUGGACAAUGGGGGGAACCCUGAUCCAGCCAUGCCGCGUGUGUGAAGAAGGCCUUAUGGUUGUAAAGCACUUUAAGCGAGGAGGAGGCUCCUUUGGUUAAUACCCAAGAUGAGUGGACGUUACUCGCAGAAUAAGCACCGGCUAACUCUGUGCCAGCCGCCGCGGUAA